rnacentral:rRNA from 1 species
UACGUAGGGUGCGAGCGUUGUCCGGAAUUAUUGGGCGUAAAGGGCUCGUAGGCGGUUUGUCGCGUCGGGAGUGAAAACACUGGGCUUAACCCAGUGCUUGCUUUCGAUACGGGCAGACUAGAGGUAUGCAGGGGAGAACGGAAUUCCUGGUGUAGCGGUGAAAUGCGCAGAUAUCAGGAGGAACACCGGUGGCGCAAGGCGGAUUGCUGGGCC